UUUUCUCAAUGGGGGAAACCCUGAAGGAGCGACGCCGCGUGGAGGAUGAAGGCUUUCGAGUUGUAAACUCCUGUCAUUUGAGAACAAGUGGCCGAACAUAACUACUUCGGCCUUGAUAGUAUCAGAAGAGGAAGGGACGGCUAACUCUGUGCCAGCAGCCGCGGUAAUACAGAGGUCUCAAGCGUUGUUCGGAUUCAUUGGGCGUAAAGGGUGCGUAGGUGGCGCCGUAAGUGGGGUGUGAAAUUUCGGAGCUUAACUCCGAAACUGCAUUCCAUACUGCGGUGCUUGAGGACUGGAGAGGAGACUGGAAUUUACGGUGUAGCAGUGAAAUGCGUAGAGAUCGUAAGGAAGACCAGUGGCGAAGGCGGGUCUCUGGACAGUUCCUGACACUGAGGCACGAAGGCCAGGGGAGCAAACGGGAUUAGAUACCCCGGUAGUCCUGGCAGUAAACGGUGCACGUUUGGUGUGGGAGGAUUCGACCCCUUCUGCGCCGGAGCUAACGCGUUAAACGUGCCGCCUGGGGAGUACGGUCGCAAGAUUAAAACUCAAAGGAAUUGACGG
rnacentral:rRNA from 1 species